rnacentral:rRNA from 1 species
ACGAACGCUGGCGGCGCGCCUAACACAUGCAAGUCGAGCGCUCACCUUCGGGUGGGAGCGGCGGACGGGUGAGUAACGCGUGGGAACCUGCCCUGGAGUUCGGGACAACCGCGGGAAACUGCGGCUGACACCGGAUACGCCCUCGCAAGAGGGGAAAGUUUACGCUCUGGGAUGGGCCCGCGUCCGAUUAGGUAGUUGGUGAGGUAACGGCUCACCAAGCCUACGAUCGGUAGCCGGUCUGAGAGGACGAUCGGCCACACUGGGACUGAGACACGGCCCAGACUCCUACGGGAGGCAGCAGUGGGGAAUCUUGGACAAUGGGCGCAAGCCUGAUCCAGCGACGCCGCGUGGGUGAUGAAGGCCUUCGGGUUGUAAAGCCCUUUUCCUGGGGACGAUGAUGACGGUACCCGGGGAAUAAGAGGUUGCUAACUCUGU